rnacentral:rRNA from 1 species
UGAGGAAUAUUGGACAAUGGGCGCAAGCCUGAUCCAGCAAUACCGCGUGAGUGAAGAAGGCCUUCGGGUUGUAAAGCUCUUUCAGUAGGGAAAAUUAUGAUGGUACCUACAGAAGAAGUCCCGGCUAACUCCGUGCCAGCAGCCGCGGUAAUACGGAGGGGACUAGCGUUGUUCGGAAUUACUGGGCGUAAAGAGCAUGUAGGCGGUUUAAUUAGUUAGAAGUGAAAGCCCGGGGCUCAACCUCGGAACUGCUUCUAAAACUGUUAAGCUAGAGUGCGGAAGAGGAUAGUGGAAUUCCUAGUGUAGAGGUGAAAUUCUUAGAUAUUAGGAGGAACACCAGUGGCGAAAGCGACUAUCUGGGACGCAACUGACGCUGAGAUGCGAAAGCAUGGGGAGCAAA